rnacentral:rRNA from 1 species
CGCGCAGGCGGUCGGUCAAGUCCGGCGUGAAAGCUCCUGGCUCAACUGGGAGAGGUCGUUGGAAACUGAUCGGCUUGAGGCAAUGAGAGGGGUACGGAAUUCCAGGUGUAGUGGUGGAAUGCGUAGAUAUCUGGAGGAACACCAGUGGCGAAAGCGGUACCCUGGCAUUGUCCUGACGCUCAUGUGCGAAAGCGUGGGGAGCGAACG